rnacentral:rRNA from 1 species
GGGGAAUCUUAGACAAUGGGGGAAACCCUGAUCUAGCCAUGCCGCGUGAUCGAUGAAGGCCUUAGGGUUGUAAAGAUCUUUCAGUGGGGAAGAUAAUGACUGUACCCACAGAAGAAGCCUUGGCUAACUCCGUGCCAGCAGCCGCGGUAAUACGGAGGGGGCUAGCGUUAUUCGGAAUUACUGGGCGUAAAGCGCACGUAGGCGGAUCAGAAAGUCAGAGGUGAAAGCCCGGAGCUCAACCCCGGAACGGCCUUUGAAACUCCUGAUCUUGAGGUCGAGAGAGGUGAGUGGAAUUCCGAGUGUAGAGGUGAAAUUCGUAGAUAUUCGGAGGAACACCAGUGGCGAAGGCGGCUCACUGGCUCGAUACUGACGCUGAGGUGCGAAAGCGUGGGGAGCAAAC